GAUGAACGCUAGCGGCAGGCCUAAUACAUGCAAGUCGGACGGGAUUCAGGAGCUUGCUUCUGAUGAGAGUGGCGCACGGGUGCGUAACACGUAUGUAACCUACCUUUAUCAGGGGGAUAGCCUCUCGAAAGAGAGAUUAAGCCCGCAUAAAAUCACAGCACAGCAUUGUGUAAUGAUCAAAUAUUUAUAGGAUAAAGAUGGGCAUGCGGAACAUUAGCUAGAUGGCGGGGUAACGGCCCACCAUGGCGACGAUGUUUAGGGGAUCUGAGAGGAUGGCCCCCCACACUGGUACUGAGACACGGACCAGACUCCUACGGGAGGCAGCAGUAAGGAAUAGUGGUAAAUGGGCGGAAGCCUGAACCAGCCAUGCCGCGUGCAGGAAGACGGCCCUACGGGUUGUAAACUGCUUUUAUACGGGAAUAAACCCAGAUACGUGUAUCUGGCUGAAUGUACUGUAAGAAUAAGGAUCGGCUAACUCCGUG
rnacentral:rRNA from 1 species